rnacentral:lncRNA from 1 species
UGCGCCAACCCUGGACCCAUGCCCAUAUCUCAAUGCCAAAUUGGAUUUGGCUUGAGCCUUUUGGUGUUAAGAGAGUGGACCUAGUAAGGGUGGGCAGUAAUGGAUGGUGAGUCAUGUUUUUAUCUGCUGCCUAAUUCGAAUGCGAUCUGAAUUAGAGAUACGGUGAUAAGAAGGAAAGGGAUUUUUCAAACAAGGAAGGUUGGUGGCACCUAAUGAUUUUUUCUUUAGUUUCUAUGAGGAGGUUUUGGGCAUGUGAGAUA